GGACAACCUACCCUAAGGAGGGGGAUAACCCCGGAAAACUGGGGAUAAUACCCCAUAKAUUAUAGAAGCUGGAAUGCUCUGUAGUCGAAAGGUCCGCCGCCUUAGGAUGGGUCUGCGGCCGAUUAGGUUGUUGUUGGGGUAAAGGCCCAACAAGCCGUUGAUCGGUACGGGUUGUGAGAGCAAGAGCCCGGAGAUGGAUUCUGAGACACGAAUCCAGGCCCUACGGGGCGCAGCAGGCGCGAAAACUUUACAAUGCGGGAAACCGUGAUAAGGGAAUCUCGAGUGCCAGCAUAUAAUGUUGGCUGUCCAGAUGCCUAAAAAGCAUCUGUUAGCAAGGGCCGGGCAAGACCGGUGCCAGCCGCCGCGGUAACACCGGCGGCCCGAGUGGUAACCGCUAUUAUUGGGUCUAAAGGGUCUGUAGCCGGCCAGGUAAGUCCCUUGGGAAAUCUGGCAGCUCAACUGUCAGGCUGCUAGGGGAUACUGUUUGGCUUGGGACCGGNANAGGUGAGAGGUACCUUGGGGGUAGGGGUGAAAUCUUGUGAUCCUCGGGGGACCACCAGUGGCGAAGGCGUCUCACCAGAACGGGUCCGACGGUAAGGGACGAAAGCUAGGGGCACGAACCGGAUUAGAUACCCGGGUAGUCCUAGCCGUAAACGAUGCUCGCUAGGUGUCAGUCAUGGUGCGACCGUGAUUGGUGCCGUAGGGAAGCCGUGAAGCGAGCCACCUGGGAAGUAUGGCCGCAAGGCUGAAACUUAA
rnacentral:rRNA from 1 species